GACGAACGCUGGCGGCGUGCUUAACACAUGCAAGUCGAACGGAAAGGCCCUGCUUUUGUGGGGUGCUCGAGUGGCGAACGGGUGAGUAACACGUGAGUAACCUGCCCUUGACUUUGGGAUAACUUCAGGAAACUGGGGCUAAUACCGGAUAGGAGCUCCUGCUGCAUGGUGGGGGUUGGAAAGUUUCGGCGGUUGGGGAUGGACUCGCGGCUUAUCAGCUUGUUGGUGGGGUAGUGGCUUACCAAGGCUUUGACGGGUAGCCGGCCUGAGAGGGUGACCGGCCACAUGGGGACUGAGGUACGGCCCAGACUGCUACGGGAGGCAGCAGUGGGGAAUAUUGCACAAUGGGCGGAAGCCUGAUGCGGCAACGCCGCGUGCGGGAUGACGGCCUUCGGGUUAUAAACCGCUUUCGCCUGUGACGAAGCGUGAGUGACGGUAAUGGGUAAAGAAGCACCGGCUAACUACGUG
rnacentral:rRNA from 1 species